ACGUGCGUGUGGGGUAAAAAUUACAAUUAGCGCCCUAGGGUAAAUAGUCACGCACGUGGGGCAGACUGUACAGCGUGCUGUAGGUUGACUGCUAAAAACGAGCUUCCUAGUCUGUUUGGGUGCACUCCAUCAGUCUUCUAAAAGGAUCAACGGUUCCAAAAUAAAUGAAAAUGGUCAAUGAAACCAAGGUUGUGGGUAUGACAGGUGGACUGAAGCCAGGUGUGUAGAUGCUGAGAAGCCGGCUGAAGCUCUGGGUCAUGGUUGCUGGUAUCAGGCUGGUAUGGCGUUGGUAAGGGACCACUGAUAAAACCAGAUUUCCCGCAACUUUUUAAAAGGCUGAAGAGUUUAUUAAAAUCGCCUUUCGUCCGCUCAGAUUCCCGGCAAACUGUGUCAUGUGGACUAGGACCCUGUCAAUGGAGGAAGGAAGGAACUUAAGGAAGGAAGCGCAACAGCCCGGGUAGUUUGUUCAGCAACGUCGGACUGUGGCUCCAGGAAAACACUGUGUGGGUUUCGUUGGAAAAAAAAAAUGGAUGCUCUUAAUGAUGCUAUCGCUCACUAUCAAGGUGGUGGGUGCGAAAAGGGGGCAAGGAGAGGGAGGAUGAAAGGCUCGCUGCCGGGAGGGGCACGGAUGGUAUUACGUGCAGCAGGUGGGUGUGUCGAGCCAGCGGCAUCGGAGCUGGGCGAGAGAGUGCGCCAGAGGGUCGGCUGCUUUUUGGAACGCUCGGCCACGACGAAGCUGGUCAGGACAGGACAGGGAGCCGGCGGGUCGAGGAGCUGGUCAACAGUGAGUCAUUCCUCUGGAGCUUGUCUGAGAGGCGACGGAUGUCUUCUUUAAGGUGUUCCGAGGCUCAUCGGUAACUCACCAGGUUUGCCAUGACGAUUGUAUCCAUAAUGACGGGCUCGGAGGGAGUUCCCAGGGUGAACUGGAGGCCACGGGGCGGCUGGCCUGAACUGACGUCAAAACAAUGGCCUUCCAACAAAAGGUAGAUGUUGUCCAGAUCGUAGCGGGUGUGCACAGACUCCACCAUCCAGCUCUCGGGAGUGUUGAGGUUCAGGGUGAAGAGGGGAGACUGAGGCAUGUCCAGGAACCUGGCCAUGGGGCCGGGAGAGAAACUACCAUCAGCUUGGAACGCCACCUCCGGCUCCAACACAUGACGGUAAAAACUGGAAGAAAACACAGGGACUUUUUUUAACAGGUGGAGGAGUCAUCAUGCCAUAAUCUGCAUGCCUUUAGCCAAAACAGCAAACAUAAAGAAACUGAAAAAUGUCAGAUUUUGUAAAAAACAACAGAGUGGCUUAAAUGUUAAGGCUUCAAAGUUAAAAGGUGCCCUGUGGAGUUUUCUUGUAAACAAAGUAAUGUUUACAUCC